AAAAACACAAACCAGUUAAAAAACCAAUUGUGAAACCACCAGUGACAACUCCAACUCCACCCAUCACAGUCCCUCCAACUUUACCUAUUCCACCAAUUGUGAAACCACCAAUUUCAAUACCACCAAUAACAAUUCCACCAACUUUGCCUAUUCCUCCAAUUGUGAAACCACCAAUAGCAAUUCCACCAACUUUGCCUAUUCCUCCAAUUGUACCAACUUUGCCACUACCUCCAAUUGUGAAACCACCAAUAACAAUUCCACCAAGUUUACCAAUCCCUCCAAUUCCAGGACUCCCUCCAAUUCCAGGAAUCCCUCCAGUUCUUAACCCACCAAGCAAAGGAGGAAGCACACCUUCUUCUCCAAAAAGUCCUUGUCCAC
rnacentral:lncRNA from 1 species